AUACCCGCAGCUCAAGUGGUGGCCACUAUUAUUGAGCCUAAAGCGUCCGUAGCCGGGCCCGUAAAUCCCUGGGUAAAUCCUGCCGCUUAACGGUAGGACUUCCGGGGAGACUGCGGGCCUUGGGACCGGGAGAGGCCGGAGGUACUCCCGGGGUAGGGGUAAAAUCCUAUAAUCCCGGGGGGACCACCUGUGGCGAAGGCGUCCGGCCAGAACGGCUCCGACGGUGAGGGACGAAGGCCAGGGGAGCAAACCGGAUUAGAAACCCUAGUAGUCC
rnacentral:rRNA from 1 species